UCUGUCGAACGCGACAGGAGGAAGAUGCUGAGGGGGGAUGCGGGAUCCACGCUGCUCCCUGGAAGAGGCAUAUUAAUAACACCGAUGCACGGCCAAUUAGCAGAAGGAGCCGGGUCCAGCCCUCGUGUCUGCGUGCUAGUGAUUUAUCGGCAGUAAUUACUGAGGCACUCAGCGCUGAGUUCGGACGGGAAUUAAUUCGAGGCCGGAUAAAUAAUGCAUGACGGUUUAUUUAGCCCCACGUGAAGCGUCGCCCCCGAGCCAGAGCUGGGAGCUGAGUGAGGUGGCGGAGGGCGGCGGCCGGGCCCGGGGCCGCCCGCUGAGGCGAGGCGAGGCGAGGCGAGGCUGCCGGCAGGGAAGGAGCAUGCUGAGCCCCCGGAUCCGGCAGGCCCGGCGAGCCCGAUCAAAGAGUUUGGUGAUGGGUGAACAGAUUGGGCCUCCCUCCAGACCUUCCUCUCCCAACCCUCAAGAACGUGUGCUGAAGUGUGGCUGGCUGAAGAAACAGAGGAGCAUUAUGAAGAACUGGCAGCAGCGGUGGUUUGUGCUGCGUGGGGACCAGCUCUUUUAUUAUAAGGACGAGGAAGAAACUAAACCUCAGGGUCUCAUUCUACUGCAAGGCAGUCACGUGAACGAGCUGCCACCUAAUCCUGAUGAACCAGGAAAGCAUCUUUUUGAAAUUGCCCCAGGUGGAGCAGGCGACCGGGAAAAGAUGCCCGUCAAUCAUGAAGCUUUCCUGCUUAUGGCUAAUUCCCAGAAUGAAAUGGAAGAUUGGGUGAAAGCCAUCCGACGGGUUAUAUGGGCUCCAUUUGGUGGAGGUAUUGCAAAUAGCUCACAUGCACAUAAAUUAAAACAUUUGCCUCAAGGGAUCUUUGGACAGCGAUUAGAGGACACCGUACAGUACGAGAGGAAGUAUGGCCAGCGCUUGGCCCCCCUGCUGGUGGAACAGUGUGUGGAUUUUAUUCGGGAGCGAGGUCUUACAGAGGAGGGGCUCUUUCGGAUGCCUGGCCAAGCCAACCUUGUCAAAGAUCUGCAGGAUUCUUUUGACUGUGGAGAGAAGCCCCUCUUUGACAGCAACACGGAUGUUCACACUGUGGCGUCCCUCCUGAAGCUUUACCUCCGAGAGCUGCCAGAGCCUGUCAUCCCCUUUGCCAAAUAUGAAGACUUUCUUUCUUGUGGACAGCUACUCUCAAAAGAUGAGGGAGAGGGUACCCAGGAACUGGUUAAACAGGUGAAGAAUUUGCCCCAAGCUAACUACAACCUCCUGAAAUACAUAUGCAAGGGGGGCUUUUCAAGGUUCCUUGAUGAAGUUCAGGCUCACUCCAGCAUUAACAAGAUGAGUGUCCAGAACCUGGCUACAGUAUUUGGACCAAAUAUAUUACGACCCAAAAUGGAAGAUCCCGUGACCAUGAUGGAAGGAACCUCCCUGGUGCAGCACCUGAUGACGGUGCUGAUAAGUGAACAGGGCCGAAUCUUUGCUGUUCCCCAGGCAGAUGUGCCAGGGAGCCAGCUGGAAAUCAGACCCAUGCGUCCACGCAACACCGUGGAGUGGAUAUCCGAGGAGGAUGGGGAGGACAGGUCAGAAAGCUGCGUUCCCAGCCCUGCCGAUUCGCCCUCCGGCAAUGCUGUGGCACCAGAGGCCACCCCUGGACCCGUGGUGAAUAACACCUCUCCAGAGCGCAGCAGCAAAUUGACUCAGCCUGCCACCAGCCCCAGCAAAAGAGUGCAGACGCUGCCUCCCUGGAAAUACUCUUUCCGCCAGCCAGGAGCACGGUCUGUGAGUCCAAAGCUGGGCAGCUCAUCCUUAGAUAUCCCCAACCUUUCCUCCAGUGGGAACUGGCUGAUGAACGGACUGUACUCGCUCCGAGGCCACCGCCGGACAGCCUCUGGGGAACGAAUGAAAGACUCGUGUUCUUCCCAAAGACUCUCUACUUACGACAAUGUCCCUUCGUCCAGCCUCUCCCUCAGCACACACAGCAUGGCCAGCACCACGUGGUCGACAUCAUCGUGUGAGAUCUCCGUGGUGGACUCGGUCAGCAGCUGCCCAGCCUGUCGGGCCAGUGACUCUUCAGCUUUAAGCUCUCUCCAGACUGAGUGGAUGACUCAGGGCUCGCUGUCUCAGAGUGAGGUCAAGACUGCAGAUCUGGAGAACAGCAUCGACAGGUUUGAUGUUUGCAGCAGCAGCAGUGAACACAGUAACCCAGCUGCAGCUUCCAGAGACUCUGUCAAAUGUUCUAGAGCCUUACAGAGCUUGGUGGUGGAGCUAAAGACAGAACUGAGCAAACAGAGGACUGAGUAUGAGACCAGUAUCAAAAGAAUUGAAGAAACAAGUUCAGACCUGAGGAAGCAAGUGGUUAGGCUAGAAGAAGAACUGGACCAAGAACGAAAGAAAUACACGAUGCUGGAGAUAAAGCUGCGGAAUUCUGAACGUGCUCGUGAAGAUGCUGAGAAGAGGAAUCACCUCCUGCAGAAGGAAAUGGAAGAGUUUUUUUCAACAUUAGGAUGUUUAACUGUUGGGAGUCGAAGUGCUAAAGUCCCCAAGUAGAAUGAGCUUAUGUACAGCAUAGACAAUUCUAUUUCUGGCAAAACCAGUGAAAAGGCACAUUUUGUUAUGGUAUACUCAUGUAUCAUGAGUAAUUGUAUAGUGAGUAUGCUCUCAGUGACACUUAUUCUGUUGUUUUUACAUGUGCUGUAGUACUUGGGCAAGCCGGAGAAAGACUGCAAAACAUAAUGCUUGGAAGUUUAGAUAUCAGCUUACCCGGAAAGAGUGGACACACUUUUUAUCCACAAGUCAAAAGGUACUGUUCUACGUAGCUGUACUGUUGCCAUCUUUGGAUUUGUUUGCAGCAUCCUUUUGCUGGUUCAAGGACAAUGGAAAGGUGCGCAAGAGUAUCCAGCUGCGCUUCAUUCUUUACUACCCCUGCUGUUAAGCAGCGUGGCACAUCCCUGACUGUUCAACAGGAGCAGCCUGCCCCCUGCAGGCACCAGCAGCAGCCUUACCCCUGUGUUAAUGAUCACAGCCUUCUAGGGUGUUAACUACUAAUCACGAUUGAUCACCAACUUACAGGGACACAACUGAAUCUACAAGGAAGACAAUGGCUUGUUUAAAUCAACAGCAUUAAGAUGCAUAAUGUGAGUAGCAAUCCCUGUUGUAACAAUGAUUUUCAGCUGGAAUGGCACAGUGAGUUGAGGCAGCACCGAGUACAGUUACUGUCCUCACAAAAUAAACCUCAAUAUUAGAGCAUUGCCUGAAUUGAGCUGUAAGUAAUUCUCCGUAAGUAGAACACCAGGACUGGUAAAAAGCAACAGCUUGUACUAUCUGGGACAUUCAAUCCAAAGUAAUACCAAAUAGGCUACUUUAAUACCCUUUUAUUUUUAUCCCCAACACGGGUACCUUUCAUUACAUCCAUCCUCCUGACAGCCCCCAUCCCUUAGACUAUUUAUACUGCAUUAGCUCCUGGAUGUGCCGAGUGCAGACUACUUGCUUCAGUUCUGGCAUGCUACAAACUGAGCCAUGCUGACUGGGAGACUAAAACAGGUAUGUGAGGUAAGGAGGGGAAGCACUACACAAGACAGCUCUCAGUGAAAUCAAAUGAAUAAUUCUAAAAAUUCUUUAAGUAGUCAGAAUACUAGGCAACAUAUAUAGACAUAUAUAUACACAUGUAUAUAUAGCUGGACUGGGAAACAAAUCCACCAAUUCCAUUCCACUGUAAGAGCUUCUGUUAACUAUGUAGAAUACUACAUGAUAUUAAUCUGGCAGACACGAUAAAAUUCAUUCCUGUUUUCAGUUUCACAGAUCAAACUGUAUCCACUCAAAGUGAUUAACGGAACUAACCUUUUUUUUUCAGUCGACUGUUGUGCUCCAGAAACAUCUAUUCCUCUUCUUCAUGAGUAAUAAAUUUCAGGUCAUUUUGAAGAUGAGCCUCUGCAGUAAGUGAAGGCUGCAAGACGUUGCAAACUACUAAGUUCAUGCUAAGACACACCACGAUGGGAUAUAAACUCUAAAGCACAGUAGCAGACACAUGAUGUUAAUUUCCUCUCGUGAGUAAUUAUGCAAGAAAUGGGAAUACACUUGAGAUGUUGGACACAACCUCAUGGAUCAAUGUGUCCUUAUUUGAGGACGAUAUAUUUGCUUUACUAACUGUAAUGCCUGUUUCUCUACACGUCAUGUGUCUACCUCAUGGAUAUAAGACCACUCCUUAUUUUACAGACUUCUAGGUUAUUCCAGCCUCCACCCCCAAUUUAAAAUACCAGCCUUAGCAAGAGUUUUCAAGAUACGGGUUUGUUAAUUCUAACAAAAAAUGAAGAAAGGCUGCUGGCAUUAAGUAUACCUAAAUUUUAGCAUAAUUUUCCCAGCCAGGAACAUCCCUUCCAAUAUUAUGCAGCCAAAACAAAAAAUGUAAUAAAUAAGUAAUCAAUUAAAGGAAUACAACACAAACAUAUACUUGAAAAAAAAUCCAAAGUAAAAUAUUCCAGAACAACAAAAAAAUUCUGUAGGUCUCCAUGGCAUUUCUAAUAUGAAAAGAAAAAUUAAUAAUGGUAGCUUAUUGACUGACUUACCCACAUUCACCAAAGAAGUCUGUACAAGCCAGCAGCACUACAGAGUUUCAGCUUUAGUUCUGUGAGCCAGAGCCACUGUCCAAGAUGAUCAAAAAUAGUCACCCACAGACAAAUCCCUGACAGAGCUUGGACUCUCAGACCUCACUCUUAUUAUAUUAAUAAAUUACUUGGUACCAGCCCCGCUUAGUGCUAACAGAUGCAAAUAAAAAAGAACAGCACUGAGCCACACAGCUUUCCUAGAACGCCUACUUAAUAGCUGGUCCAAAGAAAUGGAAUGGGCUGCUUUGUACUGCCCAUGGUCAUCGCACCUUUCCCUUAAAACAAGGACGCAAAGAAAACCUAACAACAUGCAGCCAAACACAACUCAAAAGCAUCUUGACUGUUCAUUUAAAGCAACAUGCAGACCCUGCUGGAAAUGAAGGUAAUGAAACACAUUAUGCUAGGAUUUAUCUGCACUGCAGUGGUGCCAGUGAAGGAAGCAGGCCCGUCACCCAAAUAAGAGCUUCCAUAAGGGCUCUUCAUAAAGUCAGAGCCCUUAAAGCCUUAUCUGGGACUCAGUUUUGAGAAAAAUUUCUCCUACAGGCAAAUUCCAUGUAUCCUCCUUUCAUACACUACAAGGUCCAUGGCUUACCUCUUUUUACCACAUCGGGUCUCAGCAGCUUUAUUUCCAGGAAAGAAGGCAGGCUACAGCUGGUAUCAAAGAAGUAAGAAUGGAUUCUCAGCAGUUGUAAACACACUUGAUGCUAUCAGUCUGUGGCACAGCCAAAGCCCAUGAGAAUGGAGAAAUGGAAGAAACAUCACUUUUGUCCACAAGUGAGCUCGCACACAAGACAGGACUUAAAUACCAUUUAAAACAGAUGGAAUCUCAGGGAAGACUGGUGCUAACACAACUCCAGCUGCAGCCUUAUUCAUGAUGUGCAAUCCUAGCAAUGAAGAAACACUACGUGCAUAGUGGUCAAACUUUUUUUUUCUUUUUUAUUUAAAAUAUCAUUAUAACCAAUUAACAUACUAGAUAACAAUGUAUACAUUCCAGUGGUGCACAUGUAAUGACCUAUGGCAUGAAUGAUUAAAAAAAAAAAACAAA